rfam:Venezuelan equine encephalitis virus strain Cabassou CaAr 508, complete genome.
AUGGGCAAUACGUAAGAGUAGCCCAAAAACUGAAUACACCUACCCAUCAUGGAGAAAGUUCACGUUGACAUCGAGGAAGACAGCCCGUUCCUUCGAGCUUUACAGCGGAGCUUCCCACAGUUUGAGGUAGAAGCCAAGCAGGUCACCGAUAAUGACCAUGCUAAUGCCAGAGCGUUUUCGCAUCUGGCCUCCAAAUUGAUCGAGACGGAGGUAGAACCAUCCGAUACGAUCCUAGACAUAGGCAGUGCACCGGCACGCCGAAU